GGGCUGUAGAUCAGUGGUAGAUUACCUGCUUUGUGUGCAGGAGGUCCCAGGUUCAACCCCUGGCAGCAUCU